rnacentral:lncRNA from 1 species
GUUGGAUUUUGUUUUCUUUUGAUUUUUGUAACUGAAUACUAAUGGCCGUAAUCUUUUUUCUUUUUCCGUUCCAAAGAAUAAAUAAUCUUAAAUGUUUUUAAAAUGCUAUAAUGUGUUUAUUCUUAAUAAAAUGUUCAAACUUUAUAAGAACUGUAAUGGACAUAACACUUUUUUUUAAAUUUGCAAUUCACUAUCUCUCUUCAAGGGACUUGUGGAAGUCGAUACACAUGUGUGUGCCUUAGUGUACAGAGUUCACGAAAUCUAUGUUUUAAUUAAGAUAAACCCCAAACAUCUUUUUGUUCAAUGAAAUAGAAGUUGCAAAAUAGAUUCUUAUAAGUAAGAUUAUGUGAGAGUAUCACAAAACUAUGACAUACAGUUCAGAGCAUUGGUUGAAAAAAAAGUGAGACAAAGGAAAGAACAAGAUAACGAAUGUACAGUCUUCCCCAUCACUAUAUACCGGUAUAUAGCGUGCAUACAAAAGGGGAAAUUAAAAGUAGAUUUAUUUUUAGUUAGGAAUCAUGUUGACGUCUUGUGUCAAAUCGACGUUUGUUCUCAAAUCAUUGUCUAAUCUGACCAUAAUCGUGUUAGAUUCCAAGUCAACGAUCGUUUAUAUGGGUCUCUGUUCAAAGUCUAUUCCGUUUUCAAAUUUUACAAACAAAUUCAAAUAUUAUUAUAUUAAGUUUAUCAAAAAAUCGAUUUAUACCUUUAUUAUCAAUGCUAACAGGUAGGGAUAUCAGUUUCAAGUUACAUACUGUAUUUCAUUUUGAUCCUCUGCCGUCAUAAUAACUUUUGUUUGUUUGAAACAAGGAUAUCUCUUAUGUUGUAUAUUCUUCGGAUUUCAGUUAUAUUUUCUAACUGAACUAUUUAUUUUUCAAGUUAGGAACCUUGUCAGCAGCUUCCGUACACUGACUCUAUGUCUAUUAUGACAUAUUUUUCGCUUGUGUGAAAAUGUUUUGGUAAAUUGGUCCUGUUUCUUUUUUUAAUGACUUCCAGUGUUGUUUAGAGCUUCACAUAUUGUAUAAACCACAAUAUAAAUAAAAGUAUACAUUAUGUUGAUAAAGACUCAAUAAAUCAUCUAAUAUUUUGUAGUUGGAUUGCUACCUCAUAGAUGUAUACCCACAUCUUCUUUUAUCAAUUUUACCUUGAAACAAAUAAGACAUCAUAUACCGAGUGGAUCAACGUCUUCAACACAAAGUAUUAAAUGUGACGUCAUACAAAUGAGACCUUAUAAAUUGAAGGUUAUGACGUUACUUCUACGCUUCAAAUUUAAAUAAAAUGACACCACAAGAGCUUUUUUUUAGGUAGGUGGUGUUUUAUUUUUGAUGAUACUGUGGAUAUCGAAUAAUUUUAAACCAAACAUUUCAAAAUAGUUUUGAAAUUUGAACUAUGAAGUUACAUUUAAGCCGAGAAUCUUACGUCAGAUUGGACAUUGUUUGAGUGAAGGACAUCAAUAAGAGUCUAACACAUCUUUAUAUCAAAUGAACAGCAAAUCUAAGUACCGGAUCGUGUGAUAUUUUUCCCCGAAUUGAUAUAACACUAUUUAAAAACAAUUUAAAAUUGAUCAUUUUCAAAGUAUAACCGCUUUGACAUUGCAAUCAUUUCUCGUCUUCAACUGCACAUUUUAGAAUGCAGCUGCCUUUCAAACACAGUUUUCUAAAAUAAAACCAAUAACUAGAAAUUUACUUCUAUCAAAACUAACAUCCAAUAAAGAGUGAAAGCAAUGACAAG